rnacentral:lncRNA from 1 species
AUGCUCAUAAGAGUAUACGACAGACGGAUGUUAGGUUUAUACAAAAAAAACGAACAAAUGAAUUUGAGCAAUAAUAUUCAAUCAGACACAUAUUAUCCUAAACAUUUAUGGAAUUAUUAUGAUGAAGAAGAUGAUAAAAAGUUAAAUAACAUUUCAUUAUUUUGUACACAUUUAGCCUGGUCUAAUAGUGGCAAAUACUUGGGAGUUACAUAUAAUAAUGAACAUGUAUAUGUAUUUGAUUUUUUGAAUAAAGAAACUGAAAAAUGUUUGAGUUACAAUAUUAUUGAUAAUAAAUCGUCUUUUGAUUAUUCCAAAAAAUAUGAUAUAUUAUUUCCACCAUGUUAUAAUGAAAACAAUUUUUAUACAAAUAAAAGUAGUAGUUUAUUAGAAGAUAAUAAGAAUUAUAAACAUGAAUUAUCUUUAAUUCGAGCAAUAGAAAAACUAGCUGUUGAAUCAUACGAAAAAAAACGUUAUUUUGAAGCUGAAUAUUUAUACAAUGAAUGUUUAAAUAUGGUUACUAAUAAAGACAUUAAGAAGGUACUUUAUUGCAAUUUAGCUAUAACUUUAAUUCAAAGAAAAGCAAAAAACGAUGCUUAUUUAGCUGAACAGUAUGCAUUAGAGGCUCUAAAAUUAGACCCAUAUUAUUACAAAGCUAUAUACAGAAGAAUUCAAGCCAAUAUUGUUAAUAAAAAAUUAAUUAAUGCUUAUAGAAUCACUUUAUCUGCAUGUAAACAUUAUAAAGGGGUUAUCGAAUUUUUUUAUUUAAAAAAAAAAAUAAAAAAAAAACUAUAUGAAUUAUACAAAGAUAAAAUUAGCUCCAUUAGGCAAUUACAUACCAACGAAACAAAAAGAAAAACAGUAAAUGAAGAAGAGGUAUUUGAUGAUGGAAAUAGUAAUUAUCAUCAUACGCCCACUAGAAAAAGGAAUGACGAAGAUAAGAAAACACAUGGUAGUCGUACUGACAUAAAGGACUGUGAGACCCUGAACACAGAAGAAAACUUAAUUAACAAAAAAGAA